rnacentral:rRNA from 1 species
AAAUUGAAGAGUUUGAUCAUGGCUCAGAUUGAACGCUGGCGGCAGGCCUAACACAUGCAAGUCGAGCGGAAACGAGUUAUCUGAACCUUCGGGGAACGAUAACGGCGUCGAGCGGCGGACGGGUGAGUAAUGCCUAGGAAAUUGCCCUGAUGUGGGGGAUAACCAUUGGAAACGAUGGCUAAUACCGCAUAAUGCCUACGGGCCAAAGAGGGGGACCUUCGGGCCUCUCGCGUCAGGAUAUGCCUAGGUGGGAUUAGCUAGUUGGUGAGGUAAGGGCUCACCAAGGCGACGAUCCCUAGCUGGUCUGAGAGGAU